rnacentral:rRNA from 1 species
UACGUAGGGGGCAAGCGUUGUCCGGAUUUAUUGGGCGUAAAGAGCGUGUAGGCGGCCAGGUAGGUCCGUUGUGAAAACUCGAGGCUUAACCUCGAGACGUCGAUGGAAACCAUCUGGCUAGAGUCCGGAAGAGGAGAGUGGAAUUCCUGGUGUAGCGGUGAAAUGCGUAGAUAUCGUAAGGAAGACCAGUGGCGAAGGCGGGUCUCUGGACCAGUUCCUGACGGCUGAGCACGAAG